UACGUAGGGUGCGAGCGUUGUCCGGAUUUAUUGGGCGUAAAGAGCUCGUAGGCGGUCUGUCGCGUCGGAUGUGAAAACCCAGGGCUCAACCCUGGGCCUGCAUUCGAUACGGGCAGACUAGAGUACGGCAGGGGAGACUGGAAUUCCUGGUGUAGCGGUGAAAUGCGCAGAUAUCAGGAGGAACACCGAUGGCGAAGGCAGUGGGCUGGGCCGGCACUGACGCUGAGGAGCGAAAGCGUGGGGAGCGAACAGG
rnacentral:rRNA from 1 species